rnacentral:rRNA from 1 species
GACGAACCGUGCGAACGUUAUUCGGAAUCACUGGGCUUAAAGCGCGUGUAGGCGGCCCGGUACGUCCCUCGCUGAAAGCCCCCGGCUCAACUGGGGAGGGUCAUUCGAUACUGAUCGACUCGAAGGCAGGAGAGGGAAGUGGAAUUCCCGGUGUAGUGGUGAAAUGCGUAGAUAUCGGGAGGAACACCAGUGGCGAAGGCGACCUCCUGGCCUGUUCUUGACGCUGAGGCGCGAAAGCUAGGGGAGCAAACAGG